ensembl:snRNA U6 U6 spliceosomal RNA
UUGCUUUGGCAGCAUAUAUGCUAAAAUUGGAAUGAUACAAAGAUUAUUAUGGCCCUGGUGUAAGGAUGACACACAAAUUCAUGAAGCGCCAUAUUUUUAA